AAAUGGAGAAAGAGGAGAGGAUAUGUACUGCCUCUGAAGUUAGUGUGCUUGAAAAAGCUGUCUGGUUUCCCUGGAAAUCGAGACUUUCUAAUGACACAUUUGAAGUUUCCCAGAUGGCAGCAGAGGGACAAUCUGACCAAAUAGUGUCUGACAUGAAAAUGUGAAUGAAGCAAAGUGUAUGGGAACUGUUGAAUCAAGGCCGGAACAUCUGAUUGACCACCUGAUGUGAGCGCUGAGUCAGCCACAGGGGCACAGGUGAAUGCAAUUUCACCUGAGUGACCAGAGCCAGGCUCCACCCCUCCUAGACCCCAUUUAAGGGCUGACUCCCAAGAAGGAAGGUUCUCUAUCUGAAGAUCACUCCUCUUGGAGUGCUUCUGCAAGCCUGGGAUACAGUGUAAAGGAAGAUGACUAUUUGUGGAAUGCAGCCACUAGUUGAAUGCUGUCCACUGGAGUGAAGGAGAGUCUCCUAGCUAACAAUUGUCAGCAGGCUACAAUUUACUCUCAGUCCAAGCCUUUUCCAUUUCUUUGAUUGUGACAAAACUGUAAUUCCUGUCUCUGAUAAAAUCUUUAUUGUUAUAUUCCAUGGAUGCUCUCACCUUACUCAUUGGAUUGGAUUUGUCCAGUUUUUGACAAUGAAAUAUCCCAGAAAUUCCCAGUUUCUUCUACAGCUGCUUUCUUCUAACUGUUUAAGGAGGAAUAGUAAAAGUCUGUUCCCAGCUGCAGUGAAAUGUAAAUAAUAAAUUUCCAGAGCAUGGAAUGAGUAAUACAAUCUAUUGAAGAAACCUGGAAAUAAAACCAAGGGAGAGGUUUCUCCUUCUACUUUCUGUUGUGGCUCUGUCCAUUUCUGAUUUCCAAUUAUCCCUGAAGUAUGAAUCUAAUCCAUACAGAGACUGUGAUGAUGAAUUAAAAUAGUUUGAUUUUUUUUAACUAAUACAAAAGUUAAAAUACAGUAUUCAAAAUCACAGAAGUUUAAAUGUUUUUGUUAGAACUGCUAGCAAAUAUUUCCUACAGUCUUCCAAUUGCAACUGGAACUUAAGGGCACACUGCAGUCUUGAAUUCUUCUUUUAAAGUAAAUUCCCUCAAAUAAUCUUGAUACUAAAACCAUAUAUUUGAUUUAAUUCCAAAUUUAUUACCAAAAUGUAGAAACAUCCAAAUGAGAAAUAUAAGAUAGAGAAAAAUUAGAAAAUAUUUUAAUUUUUAAAAUUUCUAUUUUUAAAUAUAUAAUCCUUACCUUUUUAGUGUUUGAUCAAGAUUAUGUUGUACAUUAUAAUAUGUAAAAGCUAAAAGGUUCUUAGAAAACGAAGAUAAAAGAAACAUUUACUGUGCUUGUCUGCAGGUUAAAGCAUCUUAUUCCCAUUUUCACAUGGAUAUACUCAGUCUGUAUUUUAUUACUAGGUUAUAUUCAAAGUGGUUUAAUUAGUGUAUCUCUGCUCUUUUUUACAGGCUCUACCUUAUUUUCUUCUUUGUAGGUCAUUACUGUUUUACACACCUAUUAAUUUAAGAUUUCAAAAUAUAAUUUUGUUCAUGUUCAAAACUUCACAUUGUAUAAGAUUACAAUACUGUUUUGACUUUGACAGUUCCUUAAAUCAAAUUGCAUGGAAAAAAUGCCUCUUCAAUAUUUCUAGGAUAUGAUGUGGAUUCAAAAAAUUAUAGUCCUCUAUAGUCUUUUACAGGACUUUUUAUUGAAAAAUUAUUUCCUUACUACAAGGGUGUAUAUUAACUACCAGUCCUCCCUGUGCCAGUAAACUUUUAAGUAUUUAUUUUCAGCAUUGUGACAUUCAUAUGUAUUGCAAUCUAGAAAGAUUCAACUACUGUAUGGGAUCUGUUGAGUCAUGGCCUGAACCACUGAUUGAUCACCUGAGGCAAGGACUGGGUCAGCUGUGGGAGCACAGGAAGGCAGUUCACCUGUGUGACUGGAAGGGGUGGAGCCAGGCUAGAUCCCAUUUAAGGGCUAACUACCACUGAGGAAGAAUCUCUUUCUGGA